UUGACCUCAAAUCAGGUAGGACUACCCGCUGAACUUAAGCAUAUCAAUAAGCGGAGGAAAAGAAACUAACAAGGAUUCCCCUAGUAACUGCGAGUGAAGCGGGAAAAGCUCAAAUUUGAAAUCUGGCGGUUUUUGACCGUCCGAGUUGUAAUCUAGAGAAGUGUUACCUGUGCUGGACCGUGUAAAAGUCUCCUGGAAUGGAGCAUCAUAGAGGGUGAGAAUCCCGUCUUUGACAUGGACAACCAGUGCGUCGUGGUGCGCUCUCAAAGAGUCGAGUUGUUUGGGAAUGCAGCUCAAAAUGGGUGGUAAAUGCCAUCUAAAGCUAAAUAUUGGCGAGAGACCGAUAGCGAACAAGUACCGUGAGGGAAAGAUGAAAAGCACUUUGGAAAGAGAGUUAAACAGUACGUGAAAUUGCUGAAAGGGAAACGCUUGAAGUCAGUCACGUCGGCUAGAAAUCAGCCUUGCUUCUGCUCGGUGUACUUUCUGGUUGACGGGUCAGCAUCAAUUUCGACCGCUGGACAAAGUCUUUGGGAAUGUGGCAUCCUCGGAUGUGUUAUAGCCCAUCGUCGCAUGCAGUGGUUGGGAUUGAGGAACUCAGCACGCCGCAAGGCCGGGUUUCGACCACGUUCGUGCUUAGGAUGCUGGCAUAAUGGCUUUAAUCGACCCGUC
rnacentral:rRNA from 1 species